rnacentral:rRNA from 1 species
CCUACGGGGGGCUGCAGUCGAGAAUAGUCUACAAUGGUCGGAAGACUGAUAGUGCGACGCCGCGUGAACGAUGAAUCCCUUCGGGGUGUAAAGUUCUUUUAUAUGUGAGCAGUGCUUCUUAUAUUAACAGUAUGGGGAGAGAGAUAUUAGCAUAUGAAUAAGCAACGGCUAACUCCGUGCCAGCAGCCGCGGUAACACGGGGGUUGCGAGCGUUGUCCGGAAUUACUAGGCGUAAAGGGCAGGCAGGCGGAUCCAUAAGUUUAUCGUUUAAGGCGUCGGCUUAACCGGCGUAGGGCGGUAGAUACUGUGGAUCUGGAAUGCGGUUGGGGAAGACAGAAUUCCUGGUGUAGCGGUGGAAUGCGCAGAGAUCAGGAGGAAUACCGAAGGCGAAGGCAGUCUUCCAAGCCGUUAUUGACGCUCAACUGCGAAGGUGUGGGUAUCAAACAGGAUUAGAUACCCGUGUAGUC